rnacentral:rRNA from 1 species
CGAAAGCCUGACGGAGCAAGACCGCGUGAGGGAGGAAGGCUCUUGGGUUGUAAACCUCUUUUCUCAGGGAAGAAGAUCUGACGGUACCUGAGGAAUCAGCCUCGGCUAACUCCGUGCCAGCAGCCGCGGUAAUACGGAGGAGGCAAGCGUUAUCCGGAAUGAUUGGGCGUAAAGCGUCCGCAGGUGGCAAUGUAAGUCUGCUGUCAAAACCCAGGGCUCAACUCUGGUCAGGCAGUGGAAACUACAUAGCUAGAGUUCGGUAGGGGCAAAGGGAAUUCCCGGUGUAGCGGUGAAAUGCGUAGAGAUCGGGAAGAACAUCGGUGGCGAAAGCGCUCUACUGGACGGCAACUGACACUCAGGGACGAAAGCUAGGGGAGCG